CUAUGUGGCAUUUUAGGGAAGUCUUCUUUUGGAAGUUUAUCUUUAAGAGUGGGACCCACGGUCCACUAAAAGAAUGUAAACAUUUCCUAUAUCACUAAAGUGAAUAUAUUUGUGGGCAGCAACCAUUCUUAACUUUGGAAAAGAAUUCACCUGAAGGAUCCAAAUGAACACCAUUUCAUUUCACGUUGGGAUUCAAUUUGGAAGCAAAAAAAAAAAAGGGUACAACGACGUUUUUCUUUGAAGAUUCAUUAUGAAGAGCCAAACAAACAUUCAACAACCAUUUGAUUUAACCAUGGGAAACAAUUCAUUUGAUGGAAGCAAAGGCAGCAACCUCACGUCCCAUUUCAAUUAAGUUAUUGUAGUCUUUUGGUUGCAGUAAGCUCAUAAUAGAACGAACUGGGUACAGUUGUUCAAGACUAAGGUGGAAGAAGAUUCAAGAAAUAAGAGAAGGAGAAAAACAAAAGAAGAAAAAGAUUUUGGAGGAAACGGGAAUUGAGUUUGGAGAGGCGUAAGGAGUGAAUAAGGUAUGUAAAGCUUUACCUUUCCUUCUCUUGGCAUGUCUUAGACAUAAUAGGUUUGGAUACGAGCCUCGGGGACGACUCUACUCUUAAGAAUUCGCGCCUAAAUUUGCCCCUUUUUUCAUUCAGUAGAAUUGAAUUAAAUAUUUUAUGAAUAGUUGGAAGUAUUGCCUAAACAUCUAGAACUUGCAUAAAUAGGACCCGACUACCUUAAAACUCUCACAAGUGACGUCAUGAAAUGUAACGUACGUAAAUUGUGUACGCUACCUCAUUUGACCCGAGGCGGGCCCACUUUCCCCGAUUCCUCUCCUAUUGUGUAUUGACUUAUUUUCGAACGAUUUUAAAGGAAACAUUUUAACUACUCGUCUAACUACUAAAUGACAAUUGUUGUAAAUAUUCCGCUGAGUCUUAUAAACUGUUUUGGAACAUGGAAACGAUCCCAGAAAAAUUAUUUUUACGUAAUCUAUUGUGACAUCCGAACUACACACACUAAGAUUAUCGUCCGAUUUCACUAUUAUGAUUUGUUAUUCGAGAUGUCCCAUCGAGCCUUUGUAAAUGUAUUAUGUUUUAUAUUGCAUUUAGUUUCCCACUACUUCACUCGUGGAUGCCUUAAUGCUUCUUUCACUGAGCCCGGGCCAGGAUAUGUUAUCACGCGUAUUCCUCUGCAUUGUUCGCCGUGCCCCGAUGUGAGGGGGCAGGUAUGACAUGUACAUGGGUUUUGGAGUUAUGCUGUGCCAUGUACGUACAUUCUGAUAUUUGAUGAUAUGACAUGAUAUGGCCAUCUGAUAUGUUAUGAUAUGUUACAGAGCUAUUCCCUUCUCUGGAGUUAUGUUGUGUUGUGGCGCCAGUGAUGGGGUGGCGACUACGUUCUGUUCACUUAGUCCCUUAAUGGGGCCGGAUAUGGCAUAUGAUUUCGCAUACACCAUCUGUGUUUUGCAAAUAUGCAUUUGACAUUUUGGGCAUUACGCUCACUUUCUGUACAUUCAAUUUCGAUUAUGAUUUUAUUACUGUACUUCAGGCUUUACAUAUUAAGUACAUAUUCCGUACUAACCCCCUUUCUUCGGGGGGGGGGGGGGGUGCGUUUCAUGCCACGCAGGUACAGACGCCCGAUUUGCUGACCCGUCCGCUUAGGAUUUUACUCAGUUGUCUUGGAGUGCUCUCUUGUCCGGAGCCUACCUUUUGGUAUAGAGUUUUUAUAUUGUACAUAUAUGUGUUAUUCAGGGGUAUGACGGGGCCCUGUCCCGUCUUAUGUUUCUGCUACUAUUCGUAGAGGUCUAUAGACAUACAUGUGGGUUGUGUAUAUGUUUUGGGUUGAUAUGUUCUGCGAUAGCCUUAUCGGCUUCUCCGUGUUAUAUAUGUUUAUCUGUGGUAAUUAGUAACGUUGUUCGUCGUCUAUAUCUGUAUAUUCUGUUUAUAUGCUAGUUUGGUUGCUGGGUACGUAUGGGUGUCCAGUGCAGACACUAGUCACGGCCUACAGGGUUGGGUCGUGACAAAAGUGGUAUCAGAGCAGUUUGUCCUCGGAAUGUCUACAGGCCGUGUCUAGUAGAGUCUUGUUUAUCGGUGUGUUGUGCACCACAUCUAUAAACAGGAGGCUACAGGACAUUUAGGAUGUUACCUUUCUUUCAUAUCUAAGAUCGUGCGAUAGAGCCCAGCCAUAGGAAAUGAAAUUCCUUAUACUAAUUUUUGAUUUCAGCUGAAGAACGAUAUCGACAGAAGAAAGCGACCGAUGAUAUUGGCAGUUACAAGGUACACAGGUAAGUUACGGUGCGAAAGAGCCAUGUCGGAUAAAGUAAGAAUAUUGGAAUAUGAUUGAAAUGUAAAGUUGAAGGAUGAAAAAGAAGGUGGAUAGGAAGGUAUAACAGGACAGAUCGUUAAAGGAUCAGGUACGCCUCGAGGUGUAAUAUGUGAGGUAAGUCCCGAUACCCUUAUACUUUUUUUGGAAAUUGGGAGCCCUGUGUGGCUAUGAUAUGAUACGAUAUAUGCGUAUAUAUGUUGGCCCUGUGAGGCAUUGUUGGUAUUUCCUGCGUGCAGGUUUUGAGAUAGUAAGAAAUACAGAGGAAACUCUGCCAAAAUUUUCCUAGAAAUUAAUUAAAACUGUGAGAUAAAUAUUAAUUGGACAAAUGCCCUGUAAGUUAUCGACAUGUGACAAUGAGGUCCCAUAAUUUAAGACAGAAAAGUAUGCCGAUGAUGAUUGGAGAUAAUAUUGAUGUGUGCAUUAAGUGGCUAUGGACUAAUGUUACAACACAUGAUUAUGAUAAUGAGUACACGAAGUGUGUUAGAAGUGAUUCAUUAUUUAAGUAAAUUGAGAUCAUGAGAUUAAUUAUGUGUGUAACGGGUUAAAUGGGGAUGAAUAAUUAAUUACCAAAUUAUUAUGGGAGACAAAGUGGAUGAGUGUAAAUCCACGUGGCAUCAUGAUGUUUAUAUCAAUAUAUAAUUAUUGUUAGGUGUUAAUUUAUUUAGUGGACACGUUUGGAAGAGAAUGCUUUGUAACCAUGAAAGUGUCAAUUAUGUGGGCCCAUUUAAAUCUCUACAUAUAUGAUCUUACCAUUUCAUUGUUGAUGGGACCAAUAUGGUCAGAUUUUUCCCACAAAUAAUCCACAAAUUCUCAAAGUGAAGGGACAACAAGGUUGGAAAUUGAUUACUAAAGCAUGCCAUGUUUCCACGUUUUGGUCUUAUCACUGUGGAAUUUUUAUAUUUUAAGUGGAUCCAAGAUGAAUAAGCAUUAUUAGUGAUUAUAUGAACCUUUUUCUUAUCCUUUACAUGGAAAAUUUGCAAAAACAAUCUGUAGCUUCUCACAUUUUUUUUCCGUUAAGAGCUCCAAGAACAAAUUCUAAUGCUAUCAAAGAAUACAAAUCAAAAUCUUCAAGCAAACCAGAGAUCUGUUGGAAAUGAAUUAAGAUUGAAGCAGAAUAAUUCUUGGUAUAUGAGGUAAGAAUUCCCCUUUACUAAAUAUAUUUAAAUUCAUCCAGGUCAUAAUUAAAUUGUGAGACGGGAACUACGAAAUUAAUUAUGGGGGUGAAUGAUUAUGAUUGGAUUAUUAUGGGAGUAGCCAAAUUAUGACCACUUUCCUUGGAAAUUCAAUACUAACUGAUGUCAGGAGGACAGUGGUAUUAAGUUAAGCAAGGAGAGACACGGCAUGAUAGAAGAGUAAUUGCUUCGUCAUGGGGCCACCAUAACCAGUAUACUUAUAUAGGACUUGUUUAACAUUCGCGGACGAAUGUUCUAAAGGGGGGAAGGAUGUAACAUCCUGUAUUUUCGUACGUCGGAAAGCGUGCGAGUUAAAUGAUAUUAGUAACGGACACGAGGUUAUCCCCCAAGCUUAUAGGUGGUUAAAUUGAUGGUACACAUGUACCGUAAGGAUUUGAAGUUAAACAAAUCUAAGAAAAUAAGUUUUGUCGAGGAUCGAAAUUUAUUUGAUGAAAUACGGUCCAAGCUAUAAUACCCCCUAUUUUUGGAUUAGGAAAUUGGAAGAUGAAAAUGUGUUAUGAAUAUUUAUGUCGAAGAUUAGAGGUUUCGGAUGAAUUAUGGUUUUGGUGGAAUUUUUGUAUAUUUUGUAAAUAUUUCAUAGAAUGAUAUGAAAUGCUUCCGAAUUGUAUUGGAAUGAUCUUGAUUAGUAAAUGAAUAUGAAAACAUUGAUAUUGGUUUGGAAGUGCGAAGUUAGAUUGGAAGUUGUCGCACUAUGUAGAAAGAAUACUAUUCAUGCUAGAAUGCAUUUUAAUUCGAUUGUUGAUGUUGUUGGUAUUGUUGUUGGUAUGGUUGUUGACAUUUGGAGCCGAGUUAAAUCUCGGGGAUGCUGUAUGUAUAGGGGAGAUGCUGCCCAAAUUUCUGUAGACAAGUAUGAGUUAAGAUUGAAUUCCUAAAGGCUUGUAAUUGAUAUUUGGUAAUUGUGACCAAUUGUAGAUUUUGGAGGAAACAGGAAUUGAGUUUGGAGAGGCGUAAGGAGCGAAUAAGGUAUGUAAAGCUUUACCUUUCCUUCUCUUGGCAUGUCUUAGACAUAAUAGGUUUGGAUACGAGCCUCGGGGACGACUCUACUCUUAAGAAUUCGCGCCUAAAUUUGCCCCUUUUUCAUUCAGUAGAAUUGAAUUAAAUAUUUUAUGAAUAGUUGGAAGUAUUGCCUAAACAUCUAGAACUUGCAUAAAUAGGACCCGACUACCUUAAAACUCUCACAAGUGACGUCAUGAAAUGUAACGUACGUAAAUUGUGUACGCUACCUCAUUUGACCCGAGGCGGGCCCACUUUCCCCGAUUCCUCUCCUAUUGUGUAUUGACUUAUUUUCGAACGAUUUUAAAGGAAACAUUUUAACUACUCGUCUAACUACUAAAUGACAAUUGUUGUAAAUAUUCCGCUGAGUCUUAUAAACUGUUUUGGAACAUGGAAACGAUCCUAGAAAAAUUAUUUUUACGUAAUCUAUUGUGACAUCCGAACUACACACACUAAGAUUAUCGUCCGAUUUCACUAUUAUGAUUUGUUAUUCGAGAUGUCCCAUCGAGCCUUUGUAAAUGUAUUAUGUUUUAUAUUGCAUUUAGUUUCCCACUACUUCACUCGUGGAUGCCUUAAUGCUUCUUUCACUGAGCCCGGGCCAGGAUAUGUUAUCACGCGUAUUCCUCUGCAUUGUUCGCCGUUCCCCGAUGUGAGGGGGAAGGUAUGACAUGUACAUGGGUUUUGGAGUUAUGCUGUGCCAUGUACCUACAUUCUGAUAUUUGAUGAUAUGACAUGAUAUGGCCAUCUGAUAUGUUAUGAUAUGUUACGGAGCUAUUCCCUUCUCUGGAGUUAUGUUGUGUUGUGGCGCCAGUGAUGGGGUGGCGACCACGUUCUGUUCACUUAGUCCCUUAAUGGGGCCGGAUAUGGCAUAUGAUUUCGCAUACACCAUCUAUGUUUUGCAAAUAUGCAUUUGACAUUUUGGGCAUUACGCUCACUUUCUGUACAUUCGAUUUCGAUUAUGAUUUUAUUACUGUACUUCAGGACUUACAUAUUCAGUACAUAUUCCGUACUGACCCCCUUUCUUCCGGGGGGGGGGUGCGUUUCAUGCCACGCAGGUACAGACGCUCGAUUUGCUGACCCGUCCGCUUAGGAUUUUACUCAGCUGUCUUGGAGUGCUCUCUUGUCCGGAGCCUACCUUUUGAGUCUCACGUGGGAUCGACGUCUACCCCUCGUGGCUGAGAGUUCAAGGCUGCUGAUUCGAGUCUGUUGGUGUGAGCAUGUGGACGCUUUGCUACCUGAAGACUCUUUUCUAUUAUGUCUUACUGUGCUAUUCGAAGAGAUUAUUGAGAUUAUUGAUGUAUUAUUAUUACUUCAAGACUUAUAGAUUUUAGUUAGAUGCUCUUGUAUGACCAGACCAGAUACUGGAGUGGUUUUUGAUUUACUUCCACACUUCUUAUAUAUAUUUAUA